GGAAAACAAAUUGAGCCUUCAACAAAUAUUCCCAAACAUCAUAUUACUCAAGAUAUUUACUAUUACUUAGCUGAUUAUUACUUCAAAAACAAUGAUCUCAAUAAAGCCAUAGAAUUUUACAUUCGUGAUUUAACCUUAAAUCGCGAUCGAUUUAAUUCAUGGGUUGGCUGUGCUCUCGUACUAAUAAAGUUCAGUGAUGAAUAUUUUUGCUCUAAUGGUCGAGUUUUCUACUCAUCUACUGAUGAAGUUUUGCUCUUGGGAGAAAAAGUGUUACGAUGUUUCAAUGAAGCGGUUCGG